rnacentral:rRNA from 1 species
UACGAAGGGGGCUAGCGUUGCUCGGAAUCACUGGGCGUAAAGCGCACGUAGGCGGAUUGUUAAGUCAGGGGUGAAAUCCUGGAGCUCAACUCCAGAACUGCCUUUGAUACUGGCGAUCUCGAGUCCGGGAGAGGUGAGUGGAACUGCGAGUGUAGAGGUGAAAUUCGUAGAUAUUCGCAAGAACACCAGUGGCGAAGGCGGCUCACUGGCCCAUUACUGACGCUGAGGCACGAAAGCGUGGGGAGCAAACAGG